rnacentral:rRNA from 1 species
UACGGAGGGUGCAAGCGUUAUCCGGAUUCACUGGGUUUAAAGGGUGCGUAGGAGGGCAGGUAAGUCAGUGGUGAAAUCUCUGGGCUUAACCCAGAAACUGCCGUUGAUACUAUCUGUCUUGGAUACCGUGGAGGUGAGCGGAAUAUGUCAUGUAGCGGUGAAAUGCUUAGAUAUGACAUAGAACACCAAUUGCGAAGGCAGCUCGCUACACGAAUAUUGACUCUGAGGCACGAAAGCGUGGGGAUCAAACAGG